rnacentral:rRNA from 1 species
UGGGGAACCUGCCCCAUAGUCUGGGAUACCACUUGGAAACAGGUGCUAAUACCGGAUAAGAAAGCAGAUCGCAUGAUCAGCUUUUAAAAGGCGGCGUAAGCUGUCGCUAUGGGAUGGCCCCGCGGUGCAUUAGUUAGUUGGUAAGGUAAAGGCUUACCAAGGCGAUGAUGCAUAGCCGAGUUGAGAGACUGAUCGGCCACAUUGGGACUGAGACACGGCCCAAACUCCUACGGGAGGCAGCAGCA